ensembl:misc_RNA Metazoa_SRP Metazoan signal recognition particle RNA
GCCAGGCGUGUUGAGGCACACCUAUAACUUCUGAUAUCAGAGAGAGACUAAGGCUAAUGGAUCUCUUGAGCUCAGAAAUUCUUAGCUGCAGCGAGCUAAGCCAGUAGAGCAUCCAUACUAAGUCCACUGCCAAUAUGGUGAGCUCCCAGGAGUGGGGGGCCACCAGGCUGCCCAAGAAGGGGCAAACCAUUCUAGAUUGGAAAUGGAGCAGAUCAAAGCUCUCUGGUUGAUCCACGUGGGAGUAGGCCCAUCAGUAGCUCUUGCAGCCAUUCCAGCCUGAGUGAGAUGGGGAAAACCAGUCUCAA